GUUGCAGAGGGGGAAAAAGCGCCUUACUCCUUAGGCGUUUGGAGACAGCACUGCAGCGACUGCUUUCAACCCAGCUCCUAGCGCAGGCAGACCCAGCCUCGGCUCCUACAGCAACAAGAGAUUAACCCCUUCGCUGCCAACAUGGCCACCAACCCGCAGACAGCUUGCCUCUCUGGGCAGUGGUUCAUUAUCUCCCCCCCCAAAACCCCCACUCCCCUCAACACACCCCUGCCCAUCGAAUCCACCGCAGUUCAACCAGCAUAAUCAAAAGACAGCCAGAUAAAGUUGCAGUGAUUUACAGCACCCAGCACCGGUGAGGGGUACAUAGAGACCCACAGACGCACAUCUGUGGUGAGGCUCCUACCUCUUAUGGCAUGACUCCCAGCUGGGGAGGGGGGGUGGAAUCACAUCGUCUCUGCCGCCUGCAGACCUACUAGGCUCUCUCACUCAGACGCGUGAGCGGCUGUCCAUCAGUCACCAGGAGGCUGCCCAUCGUGGGGGGCUCCCAGGGGCAUUUCCAGUCAGAAGUGUUACCAUGGUUGCAGGCUGGGACGUCCGCAGUGGACCAGGCAGGGGGAAGUUGGCAAGCCGGCAUCACAUCCCCCGCAGUGCAGGCUGCAUGCUACCACCUCCCCACUCCUUAGUGCGUGCUCUGGCGGUAACCCCACCUGGCCACCCUGCGUGGCAGGGGCCAAUGCCGAUCUGAGUGACGGAGCCGCAUGAGUCACUGCCCGCCAGGGCUCGCUAGAGCUCCCCCUAGGACAGUUGUCACAGCCCUUCACGGUCCAGACUUCUUUUUUAACCUCUUGUUUUCCAGACAGAGUUCUGUGCUGGGGGUGGGGUGGGGGGUGAGCAGCAAGCACGCCUUCAGCCCCACAGACUCAGAAGGAGCUGGCUGUUGCCGAAGCAUCCCCGGGGACAACGGUCAAAGCAGUGCCAGGCAGAGAAGUAACCGGAGUGAUGUGGAGGGGUGCGGAGGAAGAGGGAGGUGAACGCGGAGGGGCGGCGGGUGCUUCUGGGAUAUGCAAAAGAACAGUCUCCGAGGUGCACCGAGGUGAGGUGGGGAAGAGAAGAUCAGGGAAUGUGAAAUGCGAGCUAACAGAGACUUAUCUAACACCUCCGGGCUCUCCGGGGAGCAGCUCAGCCUUCCCUGCUGGAGUCAGAAGCUCCGGGGCUUAACGCUUUCAACAUUAGCUUAUGGGAAGGGAACUGGGACUGGAUGCAGGGGUUCGCAUCCCCUGUGCACACCCAUAAGCGGGGGGUUGGGGGGGGUUGGGGUGCAAAUCUAAUGGUGGUGCAAACCCCAUCUGACUGCCCGUGCUCACCCAAUCCCUCCUUUGGAAGAUUAAAAUUGAAAUCACAGAAAUUACAAUGUAUGAUGACCAAAAGGAAGUGCUUCCAUCCCAAGAUAAGGACAUCGAGAUAAACAUACUGAAAUACGUAGGUGACUCUGAUACAGAAACAUGGUGGCUUAAUGGCUCCCAAUUCCACCCACUCCAGUUCUAUGACCCUGGGAAAGGCACUCAGCCUCUGUAGGCAUCUGUGGGGAGGUCAUGUCUGGCUUUGAAAGAGUGUCCCUAAGCAGUGAAGGCUGGCCUCAAACUUGUGAUUCUCCUGCCUCUGCACCUGACUGUUAGGUGAAUCUAUGCAAAGUGCUCAGUGUGGCUUCUGGCACUCGGUGAACACCCAUGAAGGUGACCUGUGGCCGUUAUCAUUGCUGGCGUACAGUGCAUGAUGUGGCAGACCUUAGCAGCCGCUCAAGUCCAGUGAGACAGCGCGGCAUCUGCGCUGAGUAGAGUCGGUCUCUGCUAUACAAGGCACAGGCACGCCAAGGAGAGGAGGAUGAGGCUGGAGGGCGCUCGGUGGGUAGAAAUGCUUGCCGCGCAAACCUAACAACCCGCACUCAGAUUCCAUGGACA